rnacentral:rRNA from 1 species
UAAGACGAACCGUGCGAACGUUAUUCGGAAUCACUGGGCUUAAAGCGCGUGUAGGCGGGACGGCACGUCGGUCGCUGAAAGCCCCCGGCUCAACCGGGGAACGGGCGCCGAUACGACCGCCCUGGAGGGACGUAGGGGGACCUGGAACUUCCGGUGGAGCGGUGAAAUGCGUUGAGAUCGGAAGGAAAGCCCG